rnacentral:rRNA from 1 species
ACCGUGAGGGAAAGGCGAAAAGAACCCCGGCGAGGGGAGUGAAAAAGAACCUGAAACCGUGUACGUACAAGCAGUGGGAGCACGCUUAGGCGUGUGACUGCGUACCUUUUGUAUAAUGGGUCAGCGACUUAUAUUCUGUAGCAAGGUUAACCGAAUAGGGGAGCCGAAGGGAAACCGAGUCUUAACUGGGCGUUAAGUUGCAGGGUAUAGACCCGAAACCCGGUGAUCUAGCCAUGGGCAGGUUGAAGGUUGGGUAACACUAACUGGAGGACCGAACCGACUAAUGUUGAAAAAUUAGCGGAUGACUUGUGGCUGGGGGUGAAAGGCCAAUCAAACCGGGAGAUAGCUGGUUCUCCCCGAAAGCUAUUUAGGUAGCGCCUCGUGAAUUCAUCUCCGGGGGUAGAGCACUGUUUCGGCAAGGGGGUCAUCCCGACUUACCAACCCGAUGCAAACUGCGAAUACCGGAGAAUGUUAUCACGGGAGACACACGGCGGGUGCUAACGUCCGUCGUGAAGAGGGAAACAACCCAGACCGCCAGCUAAGGUCCCAAAGUCAUGGUUAAGUGGGAAACGAUGUGGGAAGGCCCAGACAGCCAGGAUGUUGGCUUAGAAGCAGCCAUCAUUUAAAGAAAGCGUAAUAGCUCACUGGUCGAGUCGGCCUGCGCGGAAGAUGUAACGGGGCUAAACCAUGCACCGAAGCUGCGGCAGCGACGCUUAUGCGUUGUUGGGUAGGGGAGCGUUCUGUAAGCCUGUGAAGGUGUGCUGUGAGGCAUGCUGGAGGUAUCAGAAGUGCGAAUGCUGACAUAAGUAACGAUAAAGCGGGUGAAAAGCCCGCUCGCCGGAAGACCAAGGGUUCCUGUCCAACGUUAAUCGGGGCAGGGUGAGUCGACCCCUAAGGCGAGGCCGAAAGGCGUAGUCGAUGGGAAACAGGUUAAUAUUCCUGUACUUGGUGUUACUGCGAAGGGGGGACGGAGAAGGCUAUGUUGGCCGGGCGACGGUUGUCCCGGUUUAAGCGUGUAGGCUGGUUUUCCAGGCAAAUCCGGAAAAUCAAGGCUGAGGCGUGAUGACGAGGCACUACGGUGCUGAAGCAACAAAUGCCCUGCUUCCAGGAAAAGCCUCUAAGCAUCAGGUAACAUCAAAUCGUACCCCAAACCGACACAGGUGGUCAGGUAGAGAAUACCAAGGCGCUUGAGAGAACUCGGGUGAAGGAACUAGGCAAAAUGGUGCCGUAACUUCGGGAGAAGGCACGCUGAUAUGUAGGUGAAGCGACUUGCUCGUGGAGCUGAAAUCAGUCGAAGAUACCAGCUGGCUGCAACUGUUUAUUAAAAACACAGCACUGUGCAAACACGAAAGUGGACGUAUACGGUGUGACGCCUGCCCGGUGCCGGAAGGUUAAUUGAUGGGGUCAGCGCAAGCGAAGCUCUUGAUCGAAGCCCCGGUAAACGGCGGCCGUAACUAUAACGGUCCUAAGGUAGCGAAAUUCCUUGUCGGGUAAGUUCCGACCUGCACGAAUGGCGUAAUGAUGGCCAGGCUGUCUCCACCCGAGACUCAGUGAAAUUGAACUCGCUGUGAAGAUGCAGUGUACCCGCGGCAAGACGGAAAGACCCCGUGAACCUUUACUAUAGCUUGACACUGAACAUUGAGCCUUGAUGUGUAGGAUAGGUGGGAGGCUUUGAAGUGUGGACGCCAGUCUGCAUGGAGCCGACCUUGAAAUACCACCCUUUAAUGUUUGAUGUUCUAACGUUGACCCGUAAUCCGGGUUGCGGACAGUGUCUGGUGGGUAGUUUGACUGGGGCGGUCUCCUCCUAAAGAGUAACGGAGGAGCACGAAGGUUGGCUAAUCCUGGUCGGACAUCAGGAGGUUAGUGCAAUGGCAUAAGCCAGCUUGACUGCGAGCGUGACGGCGCGAGCAGGUGCGAAAGCAGGUCAUAGUGAUCCGGUGGUUCUGAAUGGAAGGGCCAUCGCUCAACGGAUAAAAGGUACUCCGGGGAUAACAGGCUGAUACCGCCCAAGAGUUCAUAUCGACGGCGGUGUUUGGCACCUCGAUGUCGGCUCAUCACAUCCUGGGGCUGAAGUAGGUCCCAAGGGUAUGGCUGUUCGCCAUUUAAAGUGGUACGCGAGCUGGGUUUAGAACGUCGUGAGACAGUUCGGUCCCUAUCUGCCGUGGGCGCUGGAGAACUGAGGGGGGCUGCUCCUAGUACGAGAGGACCGGAGUGGACGCAUCACUGGUGUUCGGGUUGUCAUGCCAAUGGCACUGCCCGGUAGCUAAAUGCGGAAGAGAUAAGUGCUGAAAGCAUCUAAGCACGAAACUUGCC